UACGUAGGGGGCUAGCGUUGUCCGGAAUCAUUGGGCGUAAAGAGCGUGUAGGCGGCCAGGUAGGUCUGCUGUGAAAACUCGAGGCUCAACCUCGAGACGUCGGCGGAAACCAUCUGGCUAGAGUCCGGAAGAGGAGAGUGGAAUUCCUGGUGUAGCGGUGAAAUGCGCAGAUAUCAGGAAGAACACCCGUGGCGAAGGCGGCUCUCUGGGACGGUACUGACGCUGAGGAGCGAAAGCUAGGGGAGCAAACGGG
rnacentral:rRNA from 1 species